AGGACGAACGCUGGCGGCGUGCUUAACACAUGCAAGUCGAGCGGAAAGGCCCUUCGGGGUACUCGAGCGGCGAACGGGUGAGUAACACGUGAGCAAUCUGCCCUUAGCUUCGGGAUAGCUCCGGGAAACCGGAAUUAAUACCGAAUAUGACUACGGUUGACAUCAGCCAUGGUGGAAAGUUUUUCGGCUAGGGAUGAGCUCGCGGCCUAUCAGCUAGUUGGUGGGUAACGCCUACCAAGGCGACG
rnacentral:rRNA from 1 species